GCCCAGCUGGCUACAUGAACCCUGGACUCUUGGCAUUCUCUGUCCUCUGGAAAAACACAAUCCCCCCGCCCCCCUGUGCGCUGCAUGCUUUAGGCACAGGAAGUCAGAAUGGGCAGAGCCCUUUGUUAACCAAUCAGAAAUCAAGUAAACAGGUCUAUUCAUCACUGUCCAAUUGCUUAACCUGCAAUAAAAGAGCUCGCCCCAAAGCGGUGGGCGCGCCACUUGCUGCNCAUCUGCAAUAAAAGAGCUCGCCCCAAAGCGGUGGGCGCGCCACUUGCUGCAAGAGAAGCUCGUCUCUGCCUGGUUUCUUCCCGCAUCUGGCGACCCCGAGCUGAUCAGCUCCCUCUGCUCAUCGGCUGGAAUAGCCCUGGUGCACCGCAGCGCGUCUUUAAACAUUUUCGCCAAGAAGAGGUGCUCCCCGCCCCCAAGGUGACAUAUCGCCAACUGCCUGGGGCCACCUGGAGCCCACCCGUACCAUUAAUAACUUGGGGGCGAGGAUACGCCGCUCUUAGCACACCUACUAGCCCCGUGUGGGUCCCCGCCCGUUACGCUCGGCCGUGGAAGGAGGGUGGCGUGGCAUCAGGGCCUGAAUUCAAUCGAUGGCUGGCGUCCACUCGAACCAUUACCCGGGCACAGGCUCGUGGUACGCCCAAUGCCCCAGUUACAUGGGGGCAGGUUAAGGCUUUGUCCCUGCAAGCGGAGAAAACGCUGGAGACUACUGGCCUGGAAAAGACUUCAGAAAACUUUGUGGUAGCCCUGCUCGCGUGUUUAAACUCUAAUUCCUGUGUAAUGUUGUUAAGUAUUUUACACUGUUGUGUCCUC
rnacentral:lncRNA from 1 species